rnacentral:rRNA from 2 species
GUACGCGAGCUGGGUUCAGAACGUCGUGAGACAGUUCGGUCCCUAUCCGUCGUGGGCGUAGGAAAUUUGAGAGGAGCUGUCCUUAGUACGAGAGGACCGGGAUGGACACACCGCUGGUGUACCAGUUGUUCUGCCAAGGGCAUCGCUGGGUAGCUAUGUGUGGACGGGAUAAGUGCUGAAAGCAUCUAAGCAUGAAGCCCCCCUCAAGAUGAGAUUUCCCAUAGCGCAAGCUAGUAAGAUCCCUCGAAGAUGACGAGGUUGAUAGGUCAGAGGUGGAAGCGCGGUGACGUGUGUAGCUGACUGAUACUAAUCGAUCGAGGACUUAACCAA